UUUUGAUGUCUAGAAUCAGGGGAUCCAGGAUCAUCACCAAGGUCAUUUUCCCAGACAGAUGUGCUGAGGCUGUAGAAAGUGCUUUUUAUUUGGUUGGGAGCUUGUGCAUAAAUGCGAGAGGGGCUGCACAUCUGACGGACUAGAGGUGACUCAUGGCUGAACCGGAACAGGACAUCGGGGAGAAGCCAGCAGUCAGAAUUCAGAACCCCAAAGAAAAUGACUUCAUUGAAAUUGAACUGAAGAGACAAGAACUGAGUUACCAAAACCUACUAAACGUGAGUUGCUGUGAACUGGGGAUUAAACCAGAACGAGUGGAGAAGAUCAGAAAGCUACCAAACACACUGCUCAGAAAGGACAAAGACAUUCGAAGACUGCGGGACUUUCAGGAAGUGGAACUCAUUUUAAUGAAAAAUGGAAGCUCCAGAUUGACAGAAUAUGUGCCAUCUCUGACAGAAAGGCCCUGCUAUGAUAGCAAAGCUGCAAAAAUGACUUAUUAAAUACUCCCAGGAAUGGCCGCGCAUGGUGGCUCACCCCCUGUAAUCCCAGCACUUUAGGAAGCCAAGGUGGGCAGAUCACCUGAGGUCAGGAGUUCUAGACCAGCCUGGCCAACAUAUAGUGAAACCCAGUCUCUACUAAAAAAAAUACAAAAAUUAGCUAGGUGUGGUGGCGCACACCUGUAGUAGUCC
rnacentral:lncRNA from 1 species